rnacentral:misc_RNA from 1 species
AACGGUCUAUACCUGCGGUACCUGCGGAGGGAUCAUUAUCAAUUUACAGCGGACUUCGGUCCUGUCUGCACCCUUGUCUUUUGCGUACUAUAUGUUUCCUCGGUGGGCUUGCCUGCCGAUAGGACACUUAUAAACUCUUUUGUAAUUGCAAUCAGCGUCAGAAAACUAUAAUAGUUACAACUUUUAGCAACGGAUCUCU